AGCAGCCGCGGUAAUUCCAGCUCCAAUAGCGUAUAUUAAAGUUGUUGCAGUUAAAAAGCUCGUAGUUGAAUUUCGGAAUUUGUCGGUUGGUCGGGCUUCACUGUCCGCACUGGCCUGAUGGAUUCCUACCUUCUGAAUAACCAGCAUGCUAUUAAUUUAGUGCGUUGGGGAAGCAGAGCUAUUACCUUGAAAAAUUAGAGUGCUUAAAGCAGGCUCACGCUUGAAUAGAUUAGCAUGGAAUAAUAAAAUAGGACGGCUUGGUUCUAUUUUGUUGGUUUCUAGGAUCACCGUAAUGAUUAAUAGGGAUAGUUGGGGGCAUUAGUAUUCAAUUGUCAGAGGUGAAAUUCUUGGAUUUAUUGAAGACUAACUUCUGCGAAAGCAUUUGCCAAGGAUGUUUUCAUUAAUCAAGAACGAAAGUUAGGGGAUCGAAGACGAUCAGAUACCGUCGUAGUCUUAACCAUAAACUAUGCCGACUAGG
rnacentral:rRNA from 1 species